rnacentral:lncRNA from 1 species
CACCUCAAUCAACUCCUCCGCCAUCACCACCACCACCACCACCUGUUUAUAGCAGUUCCCCGUCGCAUCAACAUAGAAGUCCACCACCUCCUACCCACAAAAUUUCACCUGUAACUCGUCACGCUCCACCUCCUCCACCUCCACCAAGUCCGGUAUAUUAUCACCACCCAUCACCACCACCUCCACAACCAGUAUAUUACGCGCCACCAACAUAUAAACCUCAAUCACCACCACCACCUCCACCACCAGUACAUUACGAGCCACCAACGUACACACCUCAAUCACCACCACCACCUCCACCAGUACAUUACGAGCCACCACCAUACACACCUCAAUCACCACCACCUCCACCAGUACAUUACGAACCACCAACGUACACACCUCAAUCGCCACCACCACCAGUAUAUGUGACACCGUCUUCACCACCACCACCAGUAUAUGAGCAUCCAAAACCUCCAACUCCAACUCC